rnacentral:rRNA from 1 species
UGCCAGCAGCCGCGGUAAUACGGAGGGUGCAAGCGUUGUUCGGAAUCACUGGGCGUAAAGCGUGCGUAGGCGGCCGGAUAAGUCGGAUGUGAAAGCCCGGGGCUCAACCCCGGAACUGCAUUCGAUACUGUUCGGCUUGAGUAUGGGAGAGGGAAGCGGAAUUCCUGGUGUAGCGGUGAAAUGCGUAGAUAUCAGGAGGAACACCCGUGGCGAAAGCGGCUUCCUGGCCCAUUACUGACGCUGAGGCACGAGAGCGUGGGGAGCAAACAGGAUUAGAUA